rnacentral:rRNA from 1 species
UACGUAGGGUGCAAGCGUUGUCCGGAAUUAUUGGGCGUAAAGAGCUCGUAGGCGGUCUGUCGCGUCGGACGUGAAAAUCCAGGGCUCAACCCUGGACCUGCGUUCGAUACGGGCAGGCUGGAGUUCGGUAGGGGAGACUGGAAUUCCUGGUGUAGCGGUGAAAUGCGUAGAUAUCAGGAGGAACACCGGUGGCGAAGGCGCACAUCUGGCCCGAUACUGACGCUGAGGCGCGAAAGCUAGGGGAGCAAACGGG